CCUACGGGUGGCUGCAGUGGGGAAUAUUGCGCAAUGGGCGCAAGCCUGACGCAGCCACGCAGCGUGCUUGAAGAAGGCCUUCGGGUUGUAAAGAUCUUUUAUCGGGGACGAAUUUUGACGGUACCCGAAGAAUAAGCACCGGCUAACUACGUGCCAGCAGCCGCGGUAAUACGUAGGGAGCAAGCGUUAUCCGGAUUUACUGGGUGUAAAGGGCGUGUAGGCGGGGAUGCAAGCCAGAAGUGAAAUCUGGGGGCUUAAACCCCGAACUGCUUUUGGACCUGGGCGUCUUGAGUGAUGGAGAGGCAGGCGGAAUUCCCAGUGUAGCGGUGAAAUGCGUAGAUAUUGGGAGGAACACCAGUGGCGAAGGCAGCCUGCUGGACAUUAACUGACGCUGAGGCGCGAAAGCGUGGGGAGCAAACAGGAUUAGAUACCCCAGUAGUC
rnacentral:rRNA from 1 species